rnacentral:rRNA from 1 species
CUUGACCUCAAAUCGAGUAGGACUACCCGCUGAACUUAAGCAUAUCAAUAAGCGGAGGAAAAGAAACUAACAAGGAUUCCCCUAGUAACGGCGAGUGAAGAGGGAAGAGCUCAAAUUUUGAAUCUGGCGUCUUUGGCGUCCGAAUUGUAAUCUAGAGAAGUGUUUUCCGUGACGGACCGUGCAUAAGUCUCCUGGAAUGGAGUGUCAUAGAGGGUGAGAAUCCCGUAUAUGGCACGGACUCCCGUUGCUCUGUGAUACACUCUCGACGAGUCGAGUUGUUUGGGAAUACAGCUCUAAAUGGGUGGUAAAUGCCAUCUAAAGCUAAAUAUUGGCGAGAGACCGAUAGCGAACAAGUACCGUGAGGGAAAGAUGAAAAGCACUUUGGAAAGAGAGUGAAACAGUACGUGAAAUUGUUGAAAGGGAAACGCUUGAAGUCAGUCGCGCCGUUCGGGAUUCAGCCUUGCUUCUGCUCGGUUUACUUCCCGUUGGGUGGGUCAACAUCAGUUUCGGUCGGAGGAGAAAGGCUUGGGGAAGGUGGCAGCAUUCGUGCUGUGUUAUAGCCCCUUGUUGUAUACUUCGACUGGGACUGAGGACCGCAGCACGCCUUUGGCCGGGGUUCGCCCACGUACGUGCUUAGGAUGUUGGCAUAAUGGCUUUAAGCGACCCGUCUUGAAACACGGAC